UGUCUCCGUAGCUCAGCGGAUUAGAGCAUCGGUUUCCGGUACCGAAGGUCGCAGGUUCGAUCCCUGUCGGGGACACAUU
rnacentral:tRNA from 1 species